rnacentral:lncRNA from 1 species
AAAAAAAAUUUAUUUUCUCUCCCUCUCCUCUCCUCUCCUCUCCUCUCCCAUUUUCUAAGGCCACUCUCUUUCUCUCUCUCUCUCUCUCUCUCUCUCUCUCUCUCUCGUCCCUACCCACACCUCUCUCUCUCUCUCUCUCUCUCUCUCUCUCUCUCUCUCAGCACCUUCCUCACCAGCACUCUCUCUCCUCCCUCCCUACCCACAUACACGCGCGUACACACACUCUCUCUCACCCCCUCUCCCCACCCGCACAUACACACACACUCUCUCUUGAGUUUUGUGCACGUGGGGAGAGGAAGAGAGAGAGAGAGAGAGAGAGAGAGAGAGAGAGAGAGAAAGUGUGUGUGUACUGUGGGUGGGGAGGGAGGAGAGAGAGUGCCGGUGAGGAGGGGGCUGUGAGAGAGAGAGAGAGAGAGAGAGAGAGAGAGAGGUGUGCGUGCAUGGGCAUGGGUGGGGAGGAGAGAGAAAGAGGGAGAGAGAGUGGCCUUGGAAAAUGGAAGAGGCCGGAGAGAAUGAAAAAAUAAUAAUUUUUCUUUUCUAAUGACCACAUUAAUUCAUAUAAAAAUUAUUAAUUUAUCUUUUUUUUUAAAUUCAUCUCAUUUAGAUUAAUUUUUUUUAUUAAAAAAAGACUAGAUUGAAAAUAAAAAAUUUUCAAUGAGACUAGAUAUGGCAUUACCCCUAUUUUUUGCUCCAAAUUGUGAUGUUGCAUGCAAGAUCUUUAAAUUGAACUUGAAUUCGGGUAAAUAUAAAUAUUAAAUACAUCAUUCUUUAUUGGUAUUAUUAUUAAUUUAUUCCUAUUUAAUUCAAAUCUAACUUUUCAGCUCUAUCAAAAUAUUUCGCGUCCAGAUGUAAAAAAAUAUUAAAUAUAAAUAUUACAAAUAUGAUUCUCUACUGGCUUAAAUUUUUAGAGAAUUAGGAUUGUUUUAUUUAAUUUAACGUAUUAAAGUAAUAGUUGUUUGAAUAAUAUGUAAUU